rnacentral:rRNA from 1 species
UACAGAGGUCUCAAGCGUUGUUCGGAUUCAUUGGGCGUAAAGGGUGCGUAGGCGGCGCGGUAAGUCGGGUGUGAAAUCUCGGGGCUUAACUCCGAAACUGCAUUCGAUACUGCCGUGCUUGAGGACUGGAGAGGAGACUGGAAUUCAUGGUGUAGCAGUGAAAUGCGUAGAGAUCAUGAGGAAGACCAGUGGCGAAGGCGGGUCUCUGGACAGUUCCUGACACUGAGGCGCGAAAGCUAGGGGAGCAAACGGG